GUAAAUCAUUGGUCACUCGAGCGGCUAGGCAUAAAUCAGCUGAAAUCAGUAUAAUUCAUCUGUUUUUCUUUUGUUUUUCGCGACGUACGUCCUAACUUGCUGGUAUUCGCGAAAUAGGUACUAGUUUUUCUUUUUUAACUUUGAUGCGAACUUAUCUUCACAGGAAAUUAGUUGCACGUAAAGUAAAGAAUUUUGCAUUCUUCGAUGCAGAUUUCUCUGUACCUAACCAAUUGUGAUAAUACCGAACGUAAACAAAUCUUUAAAACGAUGAAAUAGCAAAGCAGUUUAUUCUUAAAUGUAUCGUUUAAAUAUAUUGGCAGUUCUAGCAAUUAUUACUGUAAUUGAAGUAUCAUAAAGGAUUCAGUGUUUAUUUCGAAGAAUGUAACAAUUAUAUAUCGGUUUAAAACAAUGAGUGAAUUUAAGUUGCAUCAUUUGGUGGUUGAACUGAUUGGACUAUUAGGGUCAACUUCGGCUCCUGAGAAACACGUAGAAAAAUUACAAAUAGAAGGUAUGCCUACAAGCGCGAGUGCUUUGACUAUUGUUGCUUCGCAAAGCUGUAUUCAUAAUUUGGCAAAAGGUUCGCCUGUUCCUGAAUUGUUUCUUCAAAAGUAUGAAGAAUUAAAAGCAAGAAAGGUAGAUUUAUUAGGUUUAUUCGCCCAAGUUUUGGAACUUAUAUCGAAAGAUAAAGAAUUGAAACGUUAUUUGGCUAAACAAGCAACAGCAUUAGCAUCAAAUUCUACCAAAAAUACUGCCAUUACUACAGAAGAUUUACCACAGAUUUGUAAAAAUGUAAUCAAAGCUGCUGUGGAAGGAGAAAAGAAGUUAAAUAAACACGUAGGUGUGAUUGCAAGGAAAACAGAACCAUCCAUAGUAAAACAUAACUGGGUUCACGAAAGGCCUCGAAUAACGUGGGACUUCUAUAAUGAAACAAAUGUCAUACCGUGUCAAAAGGUUGUGCCUGUGGUGUCUCAAGAAUCUAUAUUACUUUGGGAUCUUUUGUAUUGUCUAAAAGGUAUAGAUGGUACCUAUAUAGUUUCCGAACCAUUAACGGCUCCGUAUGCCUUGAAAACAUUUAGCAUCUCACCAGAUGUUUGUAUAUCGUAUAAACAAAUGUCGCAACAAAUAUUACCUCUUGCUUCGCACUAUUCAAUGACGGUUAGAUUUGUUGAAGAAAAAGUUUUACCAGACGACGGACAAGUUAAUCACGCUUUGAGGGGAGCUAUAAAAAGUUUACUCAGAGAUUAUUUAUUAUUCGUUGUACAGUUGGAAACAGAACAUGUUCGUGGUAAAUUAAAUUUACAGAAAUUGUGGUUCUAUAUUCAGCCUACCAUAAUUGCAAUGUCUAUUUUAUUUCAAAUUACAUCUACUAUAUGCAAGGCAAAUGCAAAAGGUGGAAAGGUACUGAGUCUUCUACACGAGCAAACAAACAAUAUUAGCGGUGAGGCAAAGUUUAAAGAAUUAUGCAUGUUCCUCAUACAAGCUGCGAGCGUUCCGUACAUGCAAAUAUUGGAAAAAUGGGUAUACAAAGGUGUUAUAUGCGAUCCUUAUGAAGAGUUUUUCGUGGAAGAUAACGAAUUAAUUCAAAGAGAAGAAUUGCCUAUUGAUUAUUCUGCGGAUUAUUGGGAGAAAAGGUAUACUAUGAGACCAGAGAGAAUACCUACAUUUCUCAAUGAACACGCGCAAACGAUUUUAAGAACUGGGAAAUAUUUUAACGUAAUUAGACAGUGUGGUAAAACAAUUCAAUGGGGAAAACAAGAACCUUUAAUCUAUCAACAUCAAGGGAAAAAAUACUUGGCUGCUAUUGACAGAGCGUAUUCCGAAGCUGCGAAAACAUUAUUAGAAGUUCUCAUAUAUGAAAAUGAUUUAAUGGGACGACUUCGUAGCGUGAAAAGUUAUUUUCUUCUUGCACAAGGAGACUUUGUAGUGGAAUUUAUGAAUUUGUGCGAAACGGAAUUAAAUAGAAGUAUGUACGAUAUCGUCAUCCAUCGAUUGGCAUCUCUUCUUGAAGUUGCGUUACGCAUGUCCACUGCGGACUCUGAUCCGUAUAAAGAUGAUCUGAAACCUGAACUUCUGCCAUAUGAUCUUCAGUUCCAAAUGUUUAGGAUACUUUCCAUUCAAACUAGAGAUGAGAAAGAGUACAAUUUCCAAACUGACAAGACUUUAACCGGUCUGGAAGCAUUUGUUUUCAACUAUGACGUUAAGUGGCCCGUUUCUCUGAUACUUAACAGGAAAGCGAUUGCUUGCUAUCAAAUGCUAUUCAGACAUUUAUUUUAUUGCAAAUACGUUGAGAGACGCUUGUGCAGAGUAUGGAUCUGUAAUAAAAUUGCGAAAACAUUUACCCAUAACGUAGCAAUGUCGUAUAGGAAAGCAUUCUCUUUGCGGCAACGAAUGCUCGAUUGUAUUCAACAUCUAGCAUAUUAUAUGAUGGUCGAGGUUAUAGAACCAAAUUGGCUUACAUUUUUAAACAAAAUGAGCAAGGUUAGCAACGUAGACGACGUUUUAAGCGUGCACCAAGACUUGCAGGAUAGUUACCUGAAGGAGUGUAUGCUUACAGAUCCCGAUCUCCUUGGUUUCAUCACGGGUAUUUGUGCUGCUUGCAUCGACUUUUGCAAUUUUAUGGAGCGUAUGAGCCCAUACUACAUUGACGCCGAAUUGACUUCCAUGAUUGGUGCCUGUCAGGAAGAUGUCUAUGAUUUCGAGGAUGAAAAUGGAGAUACAUCCAAGGAAAAUGCAGGAAGCUUCGAAGAAACGAUUGUAUCGCUAGAUGAAAAAUUUACACAAGUAUUGAUACGUCUUCUAGACAGAAUCUGCGAUCUAGGAUGCGAUAACAACAAUGAAAAACUCUUAAACGUGUUUUGCAGGUUAGACUUCAAUUCAUUUUAUACCGAGAUUUUGAUACGACGUGGAAGAGAGAAAACAGCGAUACAGGAAGAGGUCUCGGGUUAAAUAUGAAACAUUCACGAUCACGAAGCGAUCGUCGAAUAUUGAAUAUCGAAUCGUCGAGCGCUUCCUCCAACGCGAAUCGAACGACGGACAGGAAACGAAAAUUCCUCGACUAUCACCGUCUGGCAUCGAGCAAAGCGGACUACUCUACUGACCAGUUAGUUCUCUGCAUCGUGAUGUCAGCGUGACAAGAGAGGGGAACCGAUCAAGUGUCCAGCGCAAGCUUCUGACACAACAAGGUCGAAAGCGUCGAGGAUGGCGACUACGAACGUUAGGGUGCGUGGGUUGCGAAAUUGAGUAUAUCCAAUAAAGGAGACAAGGUGAUACCUUUACGGUGAUAUCUCCAACGUAACAUCGCAGUCUGCGUCUUUGUUUUCUGUAAUAUAAUAUAUCUUACAGAAAAUUGUAUUGGGAUUUUGGAGCAGUACUGUUUUUUUAUAUAUAUAUAUACAUUUUUUUUUUGUUUGUUAAUUUGUGAAUGAAAACGUUAAAGAAUAAAUUUGCUAAAGUUC